GAUACAAUGACAACUUAGCCACUUUCCAGACUCCCCCAAGUGACUAAACCCCCUAACGUUAAUCAGAGACGGAUUUGUAUAAUUAUUGUGUUCGUUUUUAUGCUGCUAUGCCGUGCGCUGGCUGCCUUCCCAUCUCUCCUUCGUUCCGCUUGCUGUUCGCUUCGCUUUUCACACACAAGCACCCAGCCCCCCCGCGCAGUAAACAAUCAGCUGUAUACUAGUUUCCAACCGCUUGGUUUUUGUAUUAAUUUCUGUACUUUAUUUUAUUUCCUGCUACUGUUUGUGUUUGUACAUAUUUUGUCAGUAUCUUAGAUCUUGCCAUUUAUGUUUGUGUGUGGAGACAUUUGAGAAAAUAAUUAAAAAUAAUUAAAUUAUAAAAUGUUAAUCUAAUGUCCAAAUAAAUCGGUUAAUCAAUAUCUGCGUUUGCCAAUUAACUGCCUUUUAUCAAAAUGCAGUUUGUUAAACACUUAAAUUGUUAUACUAGCUUCUUCAUUUGUCUCAAAGAGUGCAUUUCAUUUCCAUAUUGACCUAUCUGGAACCGCGGUUGUUUCUUGGCAAUCAUUAAUAACAUAUCAUUUCCUGGUUUUAUAGAAGUAUCGGAUCGGGACUCGGUAUCGGCAGAUACUCAAAAUCAAAUGACUCGGACUCGGACUCGGGGGCAAAAAAACGUGAUCGGGACAUCCCUAGUAAAUAUUAAAGUUUAGGAGUCGUCUUGAGCCCCGUAAAUAAAUGAUAAGUUGUAGCCAAUAUGCAGCUACCUCUAUUGUGAAAACGUCAACUCAACAUGCAUUAUACUAUUUCACAGAGAUGAAGAGGACUGAUAAUCUGCAAAAACUAAGAUGUUUCAGUGAUUUAAUAGCACCUAUACUAUUUUAUUCAUAUUACUAUCAUUUGUGUGUAGUUUUUGUGUUUGUUUUCAUACUUUGUAUAAAAAAAAAAAAACUUUGACUCUGAAAAGUCUGGCACCAUCGGCAUGCAAAGGAGGUUACUGCAACUGUUGAAGAAGCUGCCUUCAGGUUCAGGUUUAAUUUGGCAGUCUUUAUAUGAAUGCCAGCCCUUGUAUUCUGUUUGUAUUUCUAUUCUGUUUUGGGAGUGGCAGACCGGCUUCUUGUUGUUUCGUAAGGGUUGUGGUGGUUGCAUUACAAAUGUCUUUUUUUUUUUUUUUUCCAGUAGUCAUACAGUAAACUUGAUGAUUUCACGUAUUUAGAAUUUCAAUACACUUAGUGAUUUUUAUAUUAUGCAAUAUGCAAUCUCUGAUCAUACGUACUGAUUUUACUAUUACUUAUUAUUUUGGAGAAUAUGGUAAUGUAGUCUGAAUGUUUGUAUGCUGUUUCUUACUCUUGUAGAAAUAAUGUACUGGUUGUUUUUUUUCUCAUUUUGUUAAGCCUAUAAAAAAAA